rnacentral:rRNA from 1 species
AUUGAACGCUGGCGGCAGGCCUAACACAUGCAAGUCGAACGGUAACAGGAAACAGCUUGCUGUCUCGCUGACGAGUGGCGGACGGGUGAGUAAUGUCUGGGAAACUGCCCGAUGGAGGGGGAUAACUACUGGAAACGGUAGCUGAUACCGCAUAACGUCGCAAGACCAAAGAGGGGGACCUUCGGGCCUCUUGCCAUCGGAUGUGCCCAGAUGGGAUUAGCUAGUAGGUGGGGUAACGGCUCACCUAGGCGACGAUCCCUAGCUGGUCUGAGAGGAUGACCAGCCAACCUGGAACUGAGACACGGUCCAGACUCCUACGGGAGGCAGCAGUGGGGAAUAUUGCACAAUGGGCGCAAGCCUGAUGCAGCCAUGCCGCGUGUAUGAAGAAGGCCUUCGGGUUGUAAAGUACUUUCAGCGGGGAGGAAGGGAGUAAAGUUAAUACCUUUGCUCAUUGACGUUACCCGCAGAAGAAGCACCGGCUAACUCCGUGCCAGCCGCCGCAGUAA